CACUCCUGCGGGAGGCAGCAGUGGGGAAUAUUGCACAAUGGGCGCAAGCCUGAUGCAGCCAUGCCGCGUGUAUGAAGAAGGCCUUCGGGUUGUAAAGUACUUUCAGCGGGGAGGAAGGCGAUAAGGUUAAUAACCUUGUCGAUUGACGUUACCCGCAGAAGAAGCACCGGCUAACUCCGUGCCAGCAGCCGCGGUAAUACGGAGGGUGCAAGCGUUAAUCGGAAUUACUGGGCGUAAAGCGCACGCAGGCGGUCUGUCAAGUCGGAUGUGAAAUCCCCGGGCUCAACCUGGGAACUGCAUUCGAAACUGGCAGGCUAGAGUCUUGUAGAGGGGGGUAGAAUUCCAGGUGUAGCGGUGAAAUGCGUAGAGAUCUGGAGGAAUACCGGUGGCGAAGGCGGCCCCCUGGACAAAGACUGACGCUCAGGUGCGAAAGCGUGGGGAGCAAACAGGAUUAGAUACCCCGGUAGUCCC
rnacentral:rRNA from 1 species